UGAACGCUAGCGGCAGGCUUAACACAUGCAAGUCGAGGGGUAACGAUAGUGCUUGCACUAGGCGACGACCGGCGCACGGGUGAGUAACGCGUAUGCAACCUACCUUUAACUGGGGGAUAGCCCAGGGAAACUUGGAUUAAUACCCCAUAGUUUAUCAGAUUCGCAUGUUUCUGAUAAUAAAGUUCCGGCGGUUAAAGAUGGGCAUGCGUGCCAUUAGAUAGUUGGUGAGGUAACGGCUCACCAAGUCAGCGAUGGCUACGGGGUCUUAAAGGAUGGUCCCGCACACUGGUACUGAGACACGGACCAGACUCCUACGGGAGGCAGCAGUGAGGAAUAUUGGUCAAUGGAGGCAACUCUGAACCAGCCAUGCCGCGUGCAGGAAGACGGCCCUAUGGGUUGUAAACUGCUUUUUUACGGGAAUAAAGGUUUCUACGUGUAGAGAUUUGAAGGUACCGUACGAAUAAGCAUCGGCUAACUCC
rnacentral:rRNA from 1 species